AGAGUUUGAUCAUGGCUCAGGAUGAACGCUAGCGGCAGGCUUAACACAUGCAAGUCGAGGGGCAGCGCGGGAUAGCAAUAUCCUGGCGGCGACCGGCGGAAGGGUGCGUAACGCGUGAGCGACAUGCCCGUUGCCCGGGGACAACCGGUGGAAACGCCGACUAAUCCCCGAUGGGAUACGAUGCUUCAUGGCAUUGUAUUGAAAGUUACGGCGGCGACGGAUUGGCUCGCGCCCGAUUAGCUUGUUGGCGGGGUAACGGCCCACCAAGGCUACGAUCGGUAGGGGUUCUGAGAGGAAGGCCCCCCACAAUGGGACUGAGACACGGCCCAUACUCCUACGGGAGGCAGCAGUGAGGAAUAUUGGUCAAUGGGCGGAAGCCUGAACCAGCCAUGCCGCGUGCGGGAAGGAGGCCCUAUGGGCUGUGAACCGCUUUUGCCUGGGGGCAAUAAGGGCGUCGCGCACGUCCGAUGAGAGUACCAGGCGAAUAAGCAUCGGCUAACUCCGUGCCAGCAGCCGCGGCAAUACGGGGGAUGCGAGCGUUAUCCGGAUCCAUUGGGUUUAAAGGGCGCGUAGGCUGUGCGUCAAGUCGGGGGUGAAAUUCCGGUGCUCAACACCGGGGCUGCCCUUGAUACUGUCGCGCUGGAGUGCGGAUGCCGCCGGAGGAAUGAGUGGUGUAGCGGUGAAAUGCUUAGAUAUCACUCAGAACACCGAUUGCGAAGGCAUCUGGCGAAUCCGUAACUGACGCUGAGGCACGAAAGCGUGGGGAUAGAACAGGAUUAGAUACCCUGGUAUUCCACGCCGUAAACGAUGAUGGCUAACCGCCGGCGACACACUGUCAGCGGCCAAGCGAAAGCAUUAAGCAUCCCACCUGGGGAGUACGCCGGCAACGGUGAAACUCAAAGGAAUUGACGGGGGCCCGCACAAGCGGAGGAACAUGUGGUUUAAUUCGAUGAUACGCGAGGAACCUUACCCGGGCUUGAAUUGCAGAGGAAGGAUUUGGAGACAAUGACGCCCUUCGGGGCCUCUGUGAAGGUGCUGCAUGGUUGUCGUCAGCUCGUGCCGUGAGGUGUCGGCUUAAGUGCCAUAACGAGCGCAACCCCUCUCCUUAGUUGCCAUCAGGUUAAGCUGGGCACCCUGGGGACACUGCCACCGUAAGGUGUGAGGAAGGUGGGGAUGACGUCAAAUCAGCACGGCCCUUACGUCCGGGGCUACACACGUGUUACAAUGGCAGGUACAGAGAGACGGUUGUACGUAAGUACGAUCAAAUCCUUAAAGCCUGUCUCAGUUCGGACUGGGGUCUGCAACCCGACCCCACGAAGCUGGAUUCGCUAGUAAUCGCGCAUCAGCCAUGGCGCGGUGAAUACGUUCCCGGGCCUUGUACACACCGCCCGUCAAGCCAUGAAAGCCGGGGGCGCCUAAAGUCCGUGACCGUAAGGAGCGGCCUAGGGCGAAACUGGUAAUUGGGGCUAAGUCGUAACAAGGUA
rnacentral:rRNA from 1 species